GAUGAACGCUGGCGGUCUGCUUAACACAUGCAAGUCGAACGGAGUCGCAAGACUUAGUGGCGGACGGGCGAGUAACGCGUGAGAAUCUGCCUUCAGGUCGGGGACAACAGCUGGAAACGGCUGCUAAGACCCGAUGUGCCGAGAGGUGAAAGGUUUACUGCCUGAAGAUGAGCUCGCGUCCGAUUAGCUAGUUGGUGGGGUAAGAGCCUACCAAGGCGUCGAUCGGUAACUGGUCUGAGAGGACGACCAGUCACACUGGGACUGAGACACGGCCCAGACUCCUACGGGAGGCAGCAGUGGGGAAUUUUCCGCAAUGGGCGAAAGCCUGACGGAGCAAGACCGCGUGAGGGACGAAGGCUCUUGGGUUGUAAACCUCUUUUCUCAGGGAAGAAACCUGACGGUACCUGAGGAAUAAGCAUCGGCUAACUCCGUGCCAGCAGCCGCGGUAAGACGGAGGAUGCAAGCGUUAUCCGGAAUGAUUGGGCGUAAAGCGUUCGCAGGUGGCUGUUCAAGUCGGCUGUCAAAGACCGGGGCUUAACCCUGGAAAGGCAGUGGAAACUGAACGGCUAGAGUGCAGAUCGGGUAGAGGGAAUUCCCAGUGUAGCGGUGAAAUGCGUAGAGAUUGGGAAGAACACCGGUGGCGAAAGCGCUCUGCUGGACUGCAACUGACACUGAGGGACGAAAGCUAGGGGAGCGAAAGGGAUUAGAUACCCCUGUAGUCCUAGCCGUAAACGAUGGAUACUAGGCGUUGCCGGGCUCGACCCUGGCAGUGUCGGAGCUAACGCGUUAAGUAUCCCGCCUGGGAAGUACGCACGCAAGUGUGAAACUCAAAGGAAUUGACGGGGGCCCGCACAAGCGGUGGAGUAUGUGGUUUAAUUCGAUGCAACGCGAAGAACCUUACCAGGGCUUGACAUGUCGCGAAUCCCGGUGAAAGCUGGGAGUGCCUUAGGGAGCGCGAACACAGGUGGUGCAUGGCUGUCGUCAGCUCGUGUCGUGAGAUGUUGGGUUAAGUCCCGCAACGAGCGCAACCCUCGUUUUCAGUUGCCAUCAUUAAGUUGGGAACUCUGAAGAGACUGCCGGUGACAAACCGGAGGAAGGUGGGGAUGACGUCAAGUCAGCAUGCCCCUUACGUCCUGGGCAACACACGUACUACAAUGCUGCGGACAGAGGGUAGCGAGCCGGCGACGGCAAGCCAAUCCCGUAAACCGUGGCUCAGUUCAGAUCGCAGGCUGCAACUCGCCUGCGUGAAGGUGGAAUCGCUAGUAAUCGCAGGUCAGCAUACUGCGGUGAAUACGUUCCCGGGCCUUGUACACACCGCCCGUCACACCAUGGGAGCUGGUUUAGCCCGAAGUCGUUACUCUAACCGCAAGGGGGAGGACGCCGAAGGCUGGGCUGGUGGCUGGGGUGAAGUCGUAACAAGGUAGCCGUACCGGAAGGUGUGGCUGGAUCACCUCCUUUUUAGGGAGACCUGCUUGCUGAUCACCUGACCCUAGAAAUUAAGGUAACAGUUAAGUCAUCCCAAGGUCGAGCGAAGUUUUUGAGAAAAUGGCUUUCAAACUAAUUCCAGGUUCGUUUCACGGGGCUAGAAAUGGGGCUAUUAGCUCAGGUGGGUUAGAGCGCACCCCCUGAUUAAGGGGUGAAGGUCCCCUGGUUUCGAGUCCAGGGAUGGCCCCACCCUGAAAGUGAGUUUAGAUUUUAGGUUUUAGAUUUAAGAUUGGAAUCUCAAAUCUUAAAUCGUGAGGUGACUGGGGAGAGUCCAGUCGGGCCCACAGAAAGCGAUUUUAGAUUGAAUCCCAAAUCCAAAAUCCAAAAUCUAAAAUCCCAAAUCCAAAAUUCAAAGAGUGGGGGUAUAGCUCAGUUGGUAGAGCGCUGCCUUUGCACGGCAGAAGUCAGCGGUUCGAGUCCGCUUACCUCCACCAGAAAAAGAGAGGUUUUUGUCUUAACAUUGCCUGGAGAGGGUGUGGUAAGAUGAAAGACCGGGGAGAAAAAACCAUCCUCUCAUUUGACCGGCAGUCCCCAAAAAAAGUUACUAAAAGUUCUUGACAGUCGAAGCGCGACAGUGCUAAGAUAAAAGACCGAGGACAAAAAAGUUAGAGACUUCAGCAACGACGCAAGUUAUAGACUUGAGCGCCUGCUGGAUUCUAAUCCAGUCAGAACCUUGAAAACUGCAUAGCAACUUGUCAGGGAGAAGCAAUCAGCUAAUAGCUGAAAGCUAAUCAAACAGACAUCAAUGUUAAACGUGGUCAAGCUACAAAGGGCUGACGGUGGAU
rnacentral:rRNA from 1 species